rnacentral:ncRNA from 1 species
GGCUCGCGCCCGUAGUCUGGAGAAGCAUCGCCAGGGUUGAGUCGCGGCAGAACCCGGUUCGCGGACGGCCGCGGCGAGCGGGACUUGGUCACCCCGCCGAUUUAAAGACCCACAGCCAGCCGACUUCUCCAGUUACGGGAGCGAGCCCCCUUUUUUUCUUUUUGCCAGAUGCAUCCCGUCCUG